rnacentral:tRNA from 1 species
UUAACUAAAUUUUUACGGGAUCAAGGCCCGUCGGCCUA